ACAGCAAGCAGCUUCGUGCGAAGAAAACAGCUCUAGCGAAACCCGCCACUUCUCAGCAAUGGACUUGGACUACGUUGACCUCGACAGGAUCCAGGAUCCUGAGGUCCGGAAGACGGCUCUGGCUCACCGUAAUAGCCGGACUCCCGAUGUCGGCUUGGAUAUUGAUGGAAACCUCUACACGAGGAGGAUGUCUUCGGAUUUCAAAGCAGAAGCCCUAGAGAUAGAGUCGACCGGGGAGCCGAAGAAACCCGAAGAACAGAAGAAGAAGUGAAUUACCAGCGUAGAAUAAUUCGCAAUACGUCUACGUGGGUGGCAGAGUGGCAAUGCCCUUCACGCAGAAUUACCCCCUACCCAAUCAGCUGUGAGCUGAAGGCUUCGAUUCCCAGAUGCUGUUAUUUUAUAUAUGAGCUUUUUAUUCCGAUGAUACAUUGCAGCAAGGGGAUGUCAUCGGCAGGAACCGAAUAAUAAAAUGAGCAUUUGAUACAGU